UGGGAGGCUUUAUUCUAAGCAUUAUUGGGAGCAAAAAUCCCUAAUUUCUUUGAGACAUUAUUAUGAUUAUGUAAUAGUGCAUGCGAUAGAAUUGGAGCAUUACUGUAUAUGUUGGGAAUCUUACCAUCUGAUAUAGCACUGGUAGUUACUUUGUUAGGACCUUCUAUAGAGUGACGUAUGGGGGCAUUCCGACACCUCCAUUUCCUGAAAGCUGCCAUUAGUAGACUUCUCCUUCUGCAUUGUAUGCAUCUCUGAUGUUCCAUGAUAAUUUUCAUAAUAACCAGUGUUGUUGUGUGCCUCCAAUUGAGCUUGAGAGAUAAUGGUUUGAGCCCAAGUCAAUUGUUUAGCUGAAACUCGAUUCGAUAACACACUGUGACUCUACAUUGGCGAAGAUAAUUAUGGGAAAUGGUUAGCUGGUGGUUUAUAAGGGGAAGUCAUAUUAGCAUGUACCCAUUGUGGAGAUGUAUCCGGUGACCGUAGCGGCUCUGCCAGCAGCGGCACAGCCAUAACUGCUGGCUUCACUAAGUGAAAACUGAAAACCGUCAAGAGAGAGAAUUUUUACAGUAAUGAUCGAUUCACCCCGAUGAAAACUUAAAAUAUUGUUAUACAAAUUUCAGAAGUAUAAAUAUAAUAAUAU
rnacentral:lncRNA from 1 species